CUCCUGAGCUCUGACACUUUCCUAUACGCGCUCUGCUAAUCAAUUCACCAGCAUGAAGGUCUUGGCGAUGCUGGUACUGGUGGCAGUUUCCACUUUCCUGGUCUCAGGCCAGACUACAACUGAUGCUUCAUCUGAUAGCUCUACUGCUCCAGCUGAUGAUAUCACUGAUAUUGCCACUGAUUAUAAUGAAGUCACCGAAGACAGUGACAUUGAUGAGGACACCACUGAAGCUUCUGACACUGGGACCAGCAUUGGUGGCC